AUUGAACGCUGGCGGCAGGCUUAACACAUGCAAGUCGAGCGGAGAUGAGGUGCUUGCACCUUAUCUUAGCGGCGGACGGGUGAGUAAUGCUUAGGAAUCUGCCUAUUAGUGGGGGACAACAUUCCGAAAGGAAUGCUAAUACCGCAUACGCCCUACGGGGGAAAGCAGGGGAUCUUCGGACCUUGCGCUAAUAGAUGAGCCUAAGUCGGAUUAGCUAGUUGGUGGGGUAAAGGCCUACCAAGGCGACGAUCUGUAGCGGCUCUGAGAGGAUGAUCCGCCACACUGGGACUGAGACACGGCCCAGACUCCGACGGGAGGCAGCAGUGGGGAAUAUUGGACAAUGGGCGGAAGCCUGAUCCAGCCAUGCCGCGUGUGUGAAGAAGGCCUUUUGGUUGUAAAGCACUUUAAGCGAGGAGGAGGCUACCUGGAUUAAUACUCUAGGAUAGUGGACGUUACUCGCAGAAUAAGCACCGGCUAACUCUGUGCCAGCCGCCGCCAGUAACAC
rnacentral:rRNA from 1 species